rnacentral:lncRNA from 1 species
GUGGUCCUGCACGAUCGGCUGUGCAGUAGGCUUGUCAAGGAGAGGAUCCUCCCUGGCCUCUCCUUGGGCAGAGGAGGUGGUCCAUAAAGCUGCUCUGGAGCCAAAAUAUUGCAGUCACAUCUCGGCAGCGACCUGCCCUCAGGUGGCAUUUUCAAGUCAUGGAGAAGGCGGAGAGAGAAGCAAUCAGCAGCCACCCACUGCAGCUGGAGACCCCAGAACUUGGUGUCUGCCUCCCAUGGCACUGGGAAGGCUGGAGGCAGGUUAGAAAAAUCACUCCCUCUCUCCCACAGCCACCUGGCUCACAGGUGCCUUUAGAAGUAACAUUUCAUGUGAGGGCUACACUGCCCCAUUUUAGAGGUGGGGAAACAAAGGCCCGGAGGGCUAGGGAGGAGGGCAAGCUCCCCAGUUUGGGCA